rnacentral:rRNA from 1 species
ACGAACGCUGGCGGCGUGCUUAACACAUGCAAGUCGAACGGAAAGGCCCUGCUUUUGUGGGGUGCUCGAGUGGCGAACGGGUGAGUAACACGUGAGUAACCUGCCCUUGACUUUGGGAUAACUUCAGGAAACUGGGGCUAAUACCGGAUAGGAGCUCCUGCUGCAUGGUGGGGGUUGGAAAGUUUCGGCGGUUGGGGAUGGACUCGCGGCUUAUCAGCUUGUUGGUGGGGUAGUGGCUUACCAAGGCUUUGACGGGUAGCCGGCCUGAGAGGGUGACCGGCCACAUUGGGACUGAGAUACGGCCCAGACUCCUACGGGAGGCAGCAGUGGGGAAUAUUGCAUAAUGGGCGGAAGCCUGAUGCAGCAACGCCGCGUGCGGGAUGACGGCCUUCGGGUUGUAAACCGCUUUCGCCUGUGACGAAGCGUGAGUGACGGUAAUGGGUAAAGAAGCACCGGCUAACUACGUG